UGGCGGGGAAUAAUCUUGAAGGUACCCGCAGAAUAAGCACCGGCUAACUACGUGCCACCAGCCGCGGUAAUACGUAGGGUGCGAGCGUUAUUCGGAUUUACUGGGCGUAAAGCGUGUGUAGGUGGUUUGGCGCGUCUAAAAUUAAAUAUCCAGGCUCAACCUGGGGAAUGUUUUGGAUACGGCCUAACUAGAGGUUUGCAGGGGCAGAUGGAAUUCCCGGUGUAGCAGUGACAUGCGUAGAUAUCGGGAAGAACACCGAUGGCGAAAGCAGUCUGCUGGGCUUUUCUGACACUGAGACACGAAAGCGUGGGGAGCGAACGGGAUUAGAUACCCCGGUAGUCCACGCCCUAAACGAUGAUCACUGGCUUUUCGGAGUAUCGACCCUCCAAGAGGCGAAGCUAACGCGUUAAGUGAUCCGCCUGGGUAGUACGGCCGCAAGGCUAAAACUCAAAGGAAUAGACGGGGACUCGCACAAGCGGUGGAUCAUGUGGUUUAAUUCGUAUCUAAACGAAGAACCUUACCAAGGCUUGACAUCUCGGGAAGGUCCCCGAAAGGGGACUGUGCCUUUUGGAACCCGAUGACAGGUGAUGCAUGGCCGUCGUCAGCUCGUGUCGUGAGAUGUUUGGUUAAGUCCAUUAACGAGCGCAACCCUUAUGACUAGUUGAAUUUUUCUAGUCAGACUGCCUCGGCAACGGGGAGGAAGGAGGGGAUGAUGCCUGGUCCGUAUUUCCCUUCCGCCUUGGGCCACAAGCACGCUACAAUGGCCGGUACAAAGGGCAGCUACGCCGUGAGGCUUUAGCAAAUCCCAUCAAAGCCGGUCCCAGUUCGGAUUGCA
rnacentral:rRNA from 1 species